rnacentral:rRNA from 1 species
AUACGGAGGGGGCUAGCGUUGUUCGGAAUUACUGGGCGUAAAGCGCGCGUAGGCGGCUUAUCAAGUUAGGCGUGAAAGGCCUGGGCUCAACCCGGGAACUGCGCUUAAUACUGGUAGACCUGAGUCCGAGCGAGGGUGGCGGAAUUCCCAGUGUAGAGGUGAAAUUCGUAGAUAUUGGGAAGAACACCAGUGGCGAAGGCGGCCACCUGGCCCGGUACUGACGCUGAGGUGCGAAAGCGUGGGGAGCAAACAGGAUUAGAAACCCCAGUAGUCC